rnacentral:rRNA from 1 species
GGAGGGAGCGAGCGUUGUUCGGAAUCACUGGGCGUAAAGGGCGCGUAGGCGGCCGAGUAAGUCGUGUGUGAAAGACCGGGGCUCAACUCCGUGUACUGCAUGCGAUACUGCCCGGCUAGAGAAAGGUAGAGGCGAGUGGAAUUCCCGGUGUAGCGGUGGAAUGCGUAGAUAUCGGGAAGAACACCUGUGGCGAAGGCGGCUCGCUGGGCCUUUUCUGACGCUGAAGUGCGAAAGCGUGGGGCGCAAACAGGAUUAGAUACCCUGGUAGUCCACGCCGUAAACGAUGGGCACUAGGCGUUGGGAGGAUUGACCCUCUCAGUGCCGUAGCUAACGCGUUAAGUGCCCCCGCCUGGGGAUACGGCCGCAAGGCUG